rnacentral:rRNA from 1 species
CCCGCCGGCGACCGGCGCACGGGCGAGUAACACGUAUGAAACCUGCCCGUAGCAGGGGGAUAAGCGGAAGAAAUUCCGUCUAAUACCGCGUAACAACCCAUGGAGGCAUCUCUGUGGGUUUAAAGGAAGCGAUUCCGGCUACGGAUGGUCAUGCGUCGCAUUAGCUUGUUGGCGGGGUAACGGCCCACCAAGGCGACGAUGCGUAGGGGUUCUGAGAGGAAGGUCCCCCACACUGGUACUGAGACACGGACCAGACUCCUACGGAAGGCAGCAG